rnacentral:rRNA from 1 species
UAAGGGCGCACGGUGGAUGCCUUGGCACUAGGAGCCGAUGAAGGACGGGACUAACACCGAUAUGCUUUGGGGAGCUGUACGUAAGCUAUGAUCCAGAGAUUUCCGAAUGGGGGAACCCAACAUCUUUAAUAGGAUGUUACGAUUGUGUGAAUACAUAGCACAUUCGAGGUAGACGCAGAGAACUGAAACAUCUAAGUACCUGCAGGAAGAGAAAGAAAAUUCGAUUCCCUGAGUAGCGGCGAGCGAAACGGGAAAAGCCCAAACCAGCAAGCUUGCUUGUUGGGGUUGUAGGACUCCAAUAUGGUAGUUCUUUCAGAUAGUCGAAUGACUUGGAAAAGUCAGUCAAAGAGGGUAAAAACCCCGUAGACGAAAUGUGGAAGACACCUAGGAGGAUCCUGAGUACGGCGGAACACGAGAAAUUCCGUCGGAAUCCGGGAGGACCAUCUCCCAAGGCUAAAUACUCCCUAGUGACCGAUAGUGAACCAGUACCGUGAGGGAAAGGUGAAAAGCACCCCGGAAGGGGAGUGAAAUAGAACCUGAAACCGUGUGCCUACAACAAGUCAAAGCCCGUUAAUGGGUGAUGGCGUGCCUUUUGUAGAAUGAACCGGCGAGUUACGAUUGCAUGCGAGGUUAAGUUGAAGAGACGGAGCCGCAGCGAAAGCGAGUCUGAAUAGGGCGUUUGAGUAUGUAGUCGUAGACCCGAAACCAUGUGAUCUACCCAUGUCCAGGUUGAAGGUGCGGUAAAACGCACUGGAGGACCGAACCCACGUACGUUGAAAAGUGCGGGGAUGAGGUGUGGGUAGCGGAGAAAUUCCAAACGAACUUGGAGAUAGCUGGUUCUCUCCGAAAUAGCUUUAGGGCUAGCCUCGGAAUUGAGAAUGAUGGAGGUAGAGCACUGUUUGGACUAGGGGCCCAUCUCGGGUUACCGAAUUCAGAUAAACUCCGAAUGCCAUUCAUUCAUAUCCGGGAGUCAGACUGUG